UGGGGAAUAUUGGACAAUGGGCGCAAGCCUGAUCCAGCAAUGCCGCGUGAGUGAUGAAGGCCUUAGGGUUGUAAAGCUCUUUCGCACGUGACGAUUAUGACGGUAACGUGAGAAGAAGCCCCGGCUAACUUCGUGCCAGCAGCCGCGGUAAUACGAAGGGGGCUAGCGUUGUUCGGAAUUACUGGGCGUAAAGGGCGCGUAGGCGGCCCGAUCAGUCAGAAGUGAAAGCCCCGGGCUCAACCUGGGAACCGCUUUUGAUACUGUCGAGCUUGAGUUCCGGAGAGGAUGGUGGAAUUCCCAGUGUAGAGGUGAAAUUCGUAGAUAUUGGGAAGAACACCGGUGGCGAAGGCGGCCAUCUGGACGGACACUGACGCUGAGGCGCGAAAGCGUGGGGAGCAAACAGG
rnacentral:rRNA from 1 species